GAACCAUGAAUUUUUGAGGAAGGUUAUACGUGGUCUACUUUACUCAGUUUCAUGAAUAAGCAUUGCCUGCGUAUUACAAGAAAUAGGUACACAUCGAUCAUUCUAAGACUUCUGGGUUGGAGCUCUCUGAUAAAGGUACUACUCAAGAACUAUUCAUUAACAACUCGCUGUUACGAAGCAACAAGAAGCUUGAGUUGAACUCAACUGACGCAUCCUGGUAUAAACACUUUUCAACUGAAGCAUUCCUUCUAACAUUGAGAAAAAAUAUACCUCUUUUCGGUACUGAAAGGGCUACACUUGAGAACGUUACGAAAACGAAGUCAGUUGUAGACGUCGAUUUUUUAUUCAAAAGUGAUGUCUAUAGAAAUUGCGCUUAGUUCUUGGGUUGCAAAGUAAAUUGCAUGUAUUUUAGUGAUAACUGAAUUGCGAUGACGAAGUGUUUUUGACUUUACGCACGACCUGAAGUAGAUAACUUGAUCUCAAAAGACGGAAGUUUUUUAGCACACUCUCUUGAGAUCCUUUAAUCACUUUUGCUUGAACGGAAAAACAUCAUGAAAGUUUGGCAAUUUGCCACUUUUGACGUAACAAUGCGUUUGGGGGCAAGGUAAGCACACCUAAGAUUCGAUUAACUUUGACAUUUCACUGAUCCUAUAGCAACACGAAACAAUACAGUAUUUACCACUUCAGUUGACGUACACCCAGAAAAAAAGCAAAGAGCAAACAAUUGCUAUCACUUCAGUUUUUGUCAAAACCGACGAUUUCUACAAGAACGCAAAAGUUUCUGAUCGUGGAACGCGGUAUCACAUGAAACAUUACUGGUCGGGUUACUGGUGUUUAAGGGAGGCUGGCUUCCGACCUUCAGUGAGUCGGAAGUGAAUUUGUAUUGAUCAUCUUGACUGCUGCGGGAGUUUCAAAAGGCAUAAGGAAAAUUUCAGUGAGGAAGUAAAUCACUCAAGGCAAG